rnacentral:rRNA from 1 species
UACAGAGGUCUCAAGCGUUGUUCGGAUUCAUUGGGCGUAAAGGGUGUGUAGGUGGCGCCGUAAGUCGGGUGUGAAAUUUCGGAGCUUAACUCCGAAACUGCAUUCGAUACUGCGGUGCUUGAGGACUGGAGAGGAGACUGGAAUUCAUGGUGUAGCAGUGAAAUGCGUAGAGAUCAUGAGGAACACCGGUGGCGAAGGCGGGUCUCUGGGCCGUAACUGACGCUGAGGAGCGAAAGCGUGGGGAGCGAACAGG